UUAUUAUUAUUAUUAUUAUUAUAGUUUAAUGUGAUUAGGGUUGCAAAAACUCUAUAAAUAGGUUUAGGUUUUUUAUUAUGUAAUAGAUUUAAUUAUUAUAAUUAUUAUUGAGAAUCAAUGAGAGUUUCUGAGAAUUUAUUUCUUUUGAUCCCUUUUGUUCUUCUUGUUCUACAUCAAACAGUCUUUUUGUGUCUAGGUGACAUGCUCGUUAUUGGCAGUCUGUAUUCCUAUCAUCAGACUGUAUUUCAACCCAUGGAUAUGUUUAACUAAUAGUGGCUCUUACGAUGAUUAAAUAAAAAUUUUCUUUACAUCUUUCUGAAAAGGAGAAAGAGAGAGAGUGGAGAAGU
rnacentral:misc_RNA from 1 species